rnacentral:rRNA from 1 species
AAGAUUAAACUGAAGAGUUUGAUCAUGGCUCAGAUUGAACGCUGGCGGCAGGCCUAACACAUGCAAGUCGAGCGCGAAAGCCCUUCGGGGUGAGUAAA